rnacentral:SRP_RNA from 1 species
AGUGGUGUUGAUUGAUGGGUCUUACGCAAUAGGAAACUAUGAACCAUGUCAGGACGGGAACGUAGCAGCAUUAAGUAGAUCUUCUUAUGUGCCGUAAGGGCACCUGUCAUGAGCUGGCUGUUUGAGUAACGUAUAAAUUUUAUUAUACAAGCUUGG